rnacentral:rRNA from 1 species
UAGGGAAUCUUCGGCAAUGGGGGCAACCCUGACCGAGCAACGCCGCGUGAGUGAAGAAGGUUUUCGGAUCGUAAAACUCUGUUGUUAGAGAAGAACACGAGUGAGAGUAACUGUUCAUUCGAUGACGGUAUCUAACCAGCAAGUCACGGCUAACUACGUGCAAG